UGAAGAACGGUGUUAACGGCGUCAACGGCCAAUCGGCAGCUUCCGUAACCACUACCACAGUAACACCAACACCAACAGCCCCAAUCAUUGAUAGCAACGGUGUCCAGUACAAACUCACAAACGGCCAAACGAGGACAUCACCC
rnacentral:ribozyme from 1 species